GAAUGGUUGGAGGAUUGUAAGCCAAUCAUUUAGACUUUCAUAAAGCAAUGAGUUCUGAAUGGGCAGAUUCCUGUGUUUGCAAGGAACUCAUUGCAAAACCAGGGACUUAAGUAUUGACUUUUGACACAAACAUUCUAACGUGACUGUGCAUCUGGAAGGAAAAAACGUAAAUCAAAAUGAAUGAGUAUGUGAUGGUAGGUAUAGAAUUGCCUGAAGAUUACCUGCAUUUCCUAUUUCUUGACUACUUAAAGCAAGUAUCAUCAAGCAAAGCAAUGGGCUUCACCAAUAUAUCCUAAGUGUGUGUAAAAAGAAAUAAAAGAAGAACAAUUUCAGCGGCAAAAGAGCUUGUUUCCUGGGAUUGUAAUUUUCACUUGCACCAUUACCCUGUCUGCACUGCAAGAUAAAAGAAUCCCAACCCUUCAAGUGACCAACUAUAGCUUGCAAAAUUACCAAUGACAGAUGAGGAGCAGCAACCAGACUGAAGGAACAUUCGGAAAAGAAACUAACUGCAGGAAUAUGAAGUGGCAAAGCGGUAUUCACACCAUUUUCAAACUUCAAACCAAGUCUCUCUGCCUUGUUAUAUACAAUUUUUUUAUACCUUUUUAUAUACAAUUUAAUUAAAACUUUGUAAUAGCUUUUUUAAAGCAAAAAUAAA